AUUCUGCUGACGGGUCCUAAAUAGGACGAAACGCAUAUCCUGAAU
rnacentral:hammerhead_ribozyme from 1 species